rnacentral:rRNA from 1 species
AACGAACGCUGGCGGCAUGCCUAACACAUGCAAGUCGAACGAGACCUUCGGGUCUAGUGGCGCACGGGUGCGUAACGCGUGGGAACCUGCACUUAGGUUCGGAAUAACUCCCCGACAGGGGUGCUAAUACCGGAUAAUGUCUUCGGACCAAAGAUUUAUCGCCUUUGGAUGGGCCCGCGUUGGAUUAGCUCGUUGGUAGGGUAAAAGCCUACCAAGGCGACGAUCCAUAGCUGGUCAGAGAGGAUGAUCAGCCACACUGGGACUGAGACACGGCCCAGACUCCUACGGGAGGCAGCAGUGGGGAAUAUUGGACAAUGGGCGAAAGCCUGAUCCAGCAAUGCCGCGUGAGUGAUGAAGGCAUUAGGGUUGUAAAGCGCUUUUACCCGGGAUGAUAAUGACAGUACCGGGAGAAUAAGCUCCGGCUAACUCCGUG